GAAACAUAUAAGGGUAUGAAAAGGAGAUAAAGAAGUUAAAGCUUCUAGAGGAAAGAUGGUGAAGGGAAGACACGACUGGGCAUGAAGGUGGGGUGAUCCAGACUGCAGCUGGCUGGUGCUGGAUACCGUAGGCAGCAGUGCUUGGAGUUCAAAGAAACUCCCGUCCCACUAUGAACAAGCGGGUGCUCUGCUGCGUGAUUCUGUGUCUACUCAGAGCAGGAACCACGGAUGGUAGCAUCACCCAGACCCCUAAAUUCCUGAUCAGAGAACAAGGGCAGAAGCUGACCCUGAAAUGUGAACAGAAUUUUAAUCAUGACUCCAUGUACUGGUACCGACAGGACCCAGGGCAAGGAUUAAGACUGAUCUACUAUUCACAAAUUACAGACGAUGUCCAGAAAGGAGACCUCUCUGAAGGCUAUGAUGCCUCUCGAGAGAAGAAAUCAGUUUUUCCUCUGACUGUGAGAUCAGCACAAAAGAACCACACGGCCAUUUAUCUCUGUGCCAGCAGUCUAGCACAGUGGGACACAGCCACCACCUCUCCAAGCACAAAUGCCUCCUGAGACCCGCUCCCCCCU